rnacentral:lncRNA from 1 species
GAAAGUGAGCUUGACUCUCCAAACUCUCUAAAUUAAAAUGUUAAUUUAAAGAGUAUCUUGGAGUGUGAUUUUAACGGUCAACUCUUUAAAAUAAAGUGCAUAUAUGUUUAAAUAGUUUUUUGGAGAUGCUUUAAGUGUAACAAGUAAACAUCUAAGGGUAGAUAGUGUAAAGCUGCUGCCAACGGCUCUAGCAAUUCCAAGAGUACCACUUCCUUCCCGUUUUCUACCUUCUUUUAAACCUCCAACUUCUUUGGUGGUUGUACUACCAACGUUGCUGCCUACGCAAUCCUUUUGAACAAAGUUUCAAUAGACUUUCUACCGGAAACGGAUACUCACUUUCUACUGUUGAAGACGUAAUUCCACAAGUUACCAUUGGAUGCAUGACUCCAUAUUGGACUGGCAGCACUAGAAAUUUAGGAUGUGUUUGGUUUGCGUUUUCAUUUGCCGUUUUCAGUUUUUAAUUCAUUUUUAGUUUUCUGCUUUAAUAGACUAUUUUCGAAUUUCAGAAAAUGUAUUUGGUUUGUCAUUUUUGAAAAAUGGUUUCUCAAAAAAGAAAAAUAGAAAAUUCGUUUGGCUUAAAAUUUUUAGAAAUUGUUUCAUG